UUAAUAAGCUUCAGGUUAUAUGUGGAGUAGUUACAUUGGAGCGCAGAAUGUAUAUAUAACCUUGUACCUGUGAUUCCUCCAGAUUGUAUUUCAUUGCUUUCAGAAUAGAUACUAUUUUUAUAACAAUCAAAGAAACCGAAAAGCAAACAAUAACAUGAAUCUGAAGAAGAUGUCUCUCAAUCAUUAACGCAAAUAAUUAGAAGCUUGGAGUUGAUCAAACCAAGAAAAUAUCUGAGUCCUGCCGCAAAGAUGCCUUUUGGCCAUCUCAGACACCGUAAGCCUUCACGGGAGAUCGGUGGACAAGCGGGUGACGUCAUGGCCUGUUUCCGACUGUAUGGGAGUGAGAUGGGAGUCUCGGAACAUUUCCUCUGAGAGGACCUCGGGGACCCAAAUACACUCAAAACGAAGUCAACUCUGUGAUUGUUGAACUCUAUACUGUGAGAGACAGCAUCGGGCAUCCUAAGGAAGAGAACUGGAACCAUUGUCCCUGAGCAAACUGUGCUGUCAGGGAAAAGGGCAAACACGGAAGUAUCCUGGAAGCCGAGUUUGGGAUAUGGAUAUUUACCCGGAACCUUGAGGAACGGAGUAGCCCAAUCACAGCCGGUCAAACACUGGACAAAGUGGGCACAUUUCCUUGGAGAAACUUUAAAACAGAGACAAGGAUUUCGAUGUUGAGCAAUUUCAGAUCUUCUCUCACAAAAAAACUCAAACUUUUCUGUAAUCUUUACGGUACAUUUAAAGUGGAGACUGGUUACGUUUAUGAUUCUAAUAACCACCCCCCCCCCCCCCAGUAAAUGAACGAAGGGACGCUGACUACUGAUUAGAAACAGUUUCUAACGUGCAGAUAUUUGAUCAAAAACACAUGUUAGCCAUACAACAGAGACAGAAAAAUCAAAACCUCUUCUGUCUGUCUUUAAGCAAGACAUCGUCACUCGGGAGAAUGUUAUUUCUGCUUCACGUAGUCCCUGUUCAUCGCCGGUCUCGUAAAUCCCUCGUUAAACGUGCACGAUUGGGCGAGACGGAGAGUAUAGUCAAUUCCUCCCAUGAAAACCUCCGCUAACCUUUCCCUGGAUCGGGUGUCGAUCUAUUCGAUCCGUUGGUUUACUUUGACCGGAGUAAAGGCCAAAACGUC